rnacentral:tRNA from 1 species
GCUUUCGUGGUGUAGUGGUCAGCACACUCGGCUCGUAUUCGAGACGGGCUUGGUUCGAGUCCCGGCGAGGACA